AAAUACAUUAAAUUUGGUAUAAAGGUGUUGGGGAGAAAAAAAACCGUGGGGGGCAUGUAUGUGUAUCUCUACUGAAAUGAGAGCGAUUUAAAACCCCCAUCGAGGAUCAAUUGGAGGGCAAGUCUGGUGCCAGCAGCCGCGGUAAUUCCAGCUCCAAUAGCGUAUACUAAAGUUGUUGCAGUUAAAAAGCUCGUAGUUGAAUUUAGGGUAUGGGGGGGGAUUGGUUUGGAAUUAAAGGAUUUAAAAUAUAGUGCCCCCCCCCCCCCCAUUCCGGAGGUUGUUUUCAAAAACCCCCCCUUUCCCGGAAAAAAAUUUAGGGGGUUCCAACCAAAAAAGGAAUUUGAAAUAGAAUAUUUGGGAAGAAUAAAAUAGGCCCUAGGGGCAUUUUGGUGGGUUUGUACCCUUGAAAAAGGAUUAACAGGGACAUUUGGGGGUAUUCUUAUUUCCUUUUCAAAGGUGAAAUUCUUGAAUUUUGAAAAAACAAACAAUUGCAAAAGCAUUUACCAAGGAUUUUUUCUUUAACCAAAAACAAAAUUUAGGGGAUCA
rnacentral:rRNA from 1 species